UACGUAGGUGGCAAGCGUUGUCCGGAUUUACUGGGCGUAAAGAGCGCGCAGGCGGUCGAUUUAGUCGCGUGUGAAAGCCCCCGGCUCAACUGGGGAGGGUCACGCGAUACUGAUCGACUCGAAGGCAGGAGAGGGUAGUGGAAUUCCAGGUGUAGCGGUGAAAUGCGUAGAUAUCUGGAGGAACACCGGUGGCGAAGGCGGCAGUCCUGGACCAACACUGACGCUGACUGAGCGAAAGCCAGGGGAGCAAAGCGGG
rnacentral:rRNA from 1 species